rnacentral:rRNA from 1 species
CCUACGGGUGGCAGCAGUAGGGAAUCUUCCACAAUGGGCGAAAGCCUGAUGGAGCAACGCCGCGUGGGUGAAGAAGGUCUUCGGAUCGUAAAACCCUGUUGUUAGAGAAGAAAGUGCGUGAGAGUAAAUGUUCCCGUUUCGACGGUAUCUAACCAGACAGUCACGGCUAACUACGUGCCAGCAGCCGCGGUAAUACGUAGGUGGCAGGCGUUAGCCGGUUUUAUUGGGCGGAAAGGGAACGCAGGCGGUCUUUUAAGUUUGAUGGGAAAGCCUUCGGCUUAACGUGGGAUCUGCCUUUGAAACUGGCAAACUGGAGUGUGUGAGAGGAGAGUGGAAUUCCAGGUGUAGGAGUGAAAUCCGUAGAUAUCUGGAGGAACAUCAGUGGCGAAGGCGACUAUCUGGCACAUAACUGACGCUGAGGAGCGAAAGCGUGGGUAGCAAACAGGAUUAGAUACCCGUGUAGUC